rnacentral:lncRNA from 1 species
CCAACACACAUUUCAGUUUAAUUAUUUUAUUCGUAAGUGGGGCUAGUUUGUAGCCUUUAACUCUAUUCAUACUUGUACUAUUCAUAAGUCGGGCUAGUUGACAUUCACGUUACCGAAAUAUUAAUACUCACUUCUUACUGCUAUAUUAAAAAAAAGGAAUAAUAUAAGAAGUUUCUAUAAGGUUUUCAAUGGGAUAGCAAAUAAGUGAGGCGAGUUGGCAGGAGUAAUAUUUACGGAAUUUAACUUAUAUACAACGGGAUAACAUCUUUUUCCAUAAGUGGGGCGAGUUGGCAGGAGUAAUAUUUACGGAAUUUAACUUAUAUACAACGGGAUAACAUCUUUUUCCAUAAGUGGGGGCGAGUUGGCAGGAGUAAUAUUUACGGAAUUUAACUUAUAUACAACGGGAUAACAUCUUUUUCCAUAAGUGGGGCGAGUUGGCAUUACUACAUUCAUCCUGGUUAAUAAUAUAAUAUAAAUCUAGAUAUUAUCGUUUUCUUUCAAGUGGGGCGAGUUGGCAGGAGUAAUAUUCACGUAAUAACAUCUUUUUCCAUAAGUGGGGCGAGUUGGCAUUAAUACAUUCAUCCUGGUUAAUAAUAUAUUAAUCUAGAUAUUAUCGUUUUCUAUAAGUGGGGCGAGUUGGCAGGAGUAAUGUUUACGGAAUAUAAGUUAUAUACAACGGGAUAACAUCUUUUUCCAUGAGUGGGGCGAGUUGGCUUUACUACAUUCAUCCUGGUUAAUAAUAUGUUAAUCUAGAUUUUAUCGUUUUCCAUUCAGUGGGGCGAGUUUUCAGGAGUAAUAUUAACGGGAUUUAACACAUUUCACAAGUGGGGCGAUUUUUUAAAAAGUGGGGCGAGUUGGUGAUCCAGGUUGGGGCGUUUUUUUUUAAGUGGGGCGAGUUGGUGAAAAAGUGGGGCGACUAGGAGUGGGGCGACUUGCCAGUGGGGCGACUUGUCAUGGAUUCG